rnacentral:misc_RNA from 1 species
UGGCAGGAAGAAAAAAUUUAAAAAGAAUUCCAAAAAGAAAAAGAAUUUAGUCAGUAGGAGAAUCAUCAGAUUCAGUAAGGUUCAUGUGUGAUUCGGGUUUCAUCCGAAGGCUAUUACGCUUGCACCAGCAUAAAUACUGAGGAAUGGGCCCAUCUUCUCCAAUAACCCAACUAUGACUUGCUACAGAAUCUAAUGUCAUCCUUUGUUUUGGGUCUUUGCAAAGAAGUCCUUCAAGCAAGUUCUUUAGCUGUGGGUUCAUUUCAUUUGGGAGUACUAAAGGGUUACUAACAAUCUUGUCAUAUGUAUCCUGCAGCGUUUCUCCAAGAAAAGGGUAUUGUCCAAGAAUCAUACAGUACAAAGUCACUCCCACUGCCCAUGUGUCAGCUGCUUUGCCGUCCUAGACAGCACUCAGGUGCUGUGAAAACAGGCAUCCCAGGAGAUCGGCGAAGCUCAUCAUUAUCAUCCUCAAAUACUUGGCUAACACUAAAAUCU